rnacentral:rRNA from 1 species
GAUGAACGCUAGCUACAGGCUUAACACAUGCAAGUCGAGGGACCGGCUCACGGGUGAGUAACACGUAUCCACCCUGCCCUUUACUCGGUGAUAGCCUUUCGAAAGAAAGAUUAAUACCCGAUAUAAAGGAUGGGGAUGCGUUGCAUUAGUGUGUUGGUGAGGUAACGGCCCACCAAGCCUUCGAUGGAUAGGUGUUCUGAGAGGAAGGUCCACCACAUUGGAACUGAGACACGGUCCAAACGCCUACGGGAGGCAGCAGUGAGGAAUAUUGGUCAAUGGGCGUUAGCCUGAACCAGCCAAGUAGCGUGAAGGAUGAAGGCUUAUGGGUCGUAAACUUCUUUUAUAUAAGAAUAUGUAUUAUAUGAAUAAGGAUCGGCUAACUCCGUGCCAGCAGCCGCGGUAAUAC